rnacentral:misc_RNA from 1 species
AGUCGUAACAAGGUAUCCGUAGGUGAACCUGCGGAUGGAUCAUUACUGGGAUCUUUAUUGAUGUCAUGUGAAUUGGAGAGGUUAGAGUUGGUGGUUGGUGUUGAUGUGGGGUGAAACAUCCAAUAAGGGUGAAACACCUCGCGUCAAACAAUACAAAUCACCAACUCACACAAAAACAACGUGAAGCCUGAGUGAAAUUGAUGAAAUACAACUUUUAGCAACGGAUCUCUUGGCUCUC